rnacentral:misc_RNA from 1 species
GUGAAUCAUCGAAUCUUUGAACGCAAAUUGCAUUCUCUUCGGAGAGUAUGCCUGUUUGAGGGUCAGCCUAAAAAAAAUCGACAUCGUUGUUGUUUUUCGGUGGCGUUGGUCGGAAAUUGGGUUAUCUUAAAUCUUUGGUUUAAGUGACUUAAUAUUUUCUUUACGAUUCCAUGAAUGUUUCCAAGAUUUAUUUCUUUACACGUUUUAGGUCUCUAUUUUUUUAGUUGUGGUCGUCAUAUU